GACGAACGCUGGCGGCGUGCUUAACACAUGCAAGUCGAACGGAAAGGCCCUGCUUUUGUGGGGUGCUCGAGUGGCGAACGGGUGAGUAACACGUGAGUAACCUGCCCUUGACUUUGGGAUAACUUCAGGAAACUGGGGCUAAUACCGGAUAGGAGCUCCUGCUGCAUGGUGGGGGUUGGAAAGUUUCGGCGGUUGGGGAUGGACUCGCGGCUUAUCAGCUUGUUGGUGGGGUAGUGGCUUACCAAGGCUUUGACGGGUAGCCGGCCUGAGAGGGUGACCGGCCACAUUGGGACUGAGAUACGGCCCAGACUCCUACGGGAGGCAGCAGGGGGGAAUAUUGCACAAGGGGCGGAAGCCUGAUGCAGCAACGCCGCGUGCGGGAUGACGGCCUUCGGGUUGUAAACCGCUUUCGCCUGUGACGAAGCGUGAGUGACGGUAAUGGGUAAAGAAGCACCGGCUAACUACGG
rnacentral:rRNA from 1 species